ensembl:snoRNA
GAAGAAGCAAAGUGAUGAGUAAUACUUGCAUGAGCCGAAGUGAGUGAACUGUGUGCGUGUGCAGUUGUGUGACAGUUGUUUGUGAGAGUUGUGUGCCUUAUAAUUGGGCAGUGAUAGCUAAACUGAUAAGAUCUGAUUGCUUC